rnacentral:rRNA from 1 species
AUUGAACGCUGGCGGCAGGCCUAACACAUGCACGUCGAGCGGAGCGGCGGACGGGUGAGUAAUGCCUAGGAAUCUGCCUGGUAGUGGGGGAUAACGUCCGGAAACGGGCGCUAAUACCGCAUACUAGCAGAUGAGCCUAGGUCGGAUGAGCUAGUGGGGGGGGUAAAGGACUACCCAGGCGACGCUCCGUAACUGGUCUGAGAGGAUGGUCAGUCCAACGGGAACUGAGACACGUUACAGACUCCUACGGGAGGCAGCAGUGGGGAAUAUGGGACAAUGGGCGAAAGCCUGAUCAAGCCAUGCCGCGUGUGUGAAGAAGGUCUUGGGAUUGUAAAGCACUUUAAGUUGGGAGGCGUUACCAACAGAAUAAGCACCGGCUAACUUCGUGCCAGCAGCCGCGGUAAUAC